rnacentral:rRNA from 1 species
UACGUAGGGUGCAAGCGUUAAUCGGAAUUACUGGGCGUAAGCGUGCGCAGGCGGUUCUAUAAGACAGAUGUGAAAUCCCCCGGGCUCAACCUGGGAACUGCAUUUGUGACUGUAGAGCUGGAGUACGGUAGAGGGGGAUGGAAUUCCGCGUGUAGCAGUGAAAUGCGUAGAGAUGCGGAGGAACACCGAUGGCGAAGGCAGCCCCCUGGGCUAGCACUGACGCUCAGGCACGAAAGCGUGGGGAGCAAACAGG